rnacentral:rRNA from 1 species
CGGAACACGUACGCAACCUCCCUUUAACUGGAGAAUAGCCCCUCGAAAGAGGGAUUAAUACUCCGUAACAUAUACAUGUGGCAUCACAAGUAUAUUAUAGCUCCGGCGGUUAAAGAUGGGCGUGCGCCUGAUUAGAUAGUUGGCGGGGUAACGGCCCACCAAGUCUGCGAUCAGUAACUGGUGUGAGAGCACGACCAGUCACACGGGCACUGAGACACGGGCCCG